rnacentral:snRNA from 1 species
GUGCUCACUCCGGCUGCACAUUGACUACAACUGCAAUGAUACAGAGAAGAUUAGCAGGGCCCCUGAGCAAGG